rnacentral:pre_miRNA from 1 species
GAAACGUGUAGGGGAGAUAGCACGCAAGGAUAUGUUCAAAUGUUUGACAAUGUUGCAAAGACAUUGCUUUUAAGUGAGUGUAGUGACUCCUCUUUUGAACAUAUCCUUGCGUGAUAUCUCCCCUACACUUUUGC